rnacentral:rRNA from 1 species
GGAAUAUUGGGCAAUGGAGGAAACUCUGACCCAGCCAUGCCGCGUGAGUGAGAAGGUCUUCGGAUUGUAAAGCUCUUUUAUGCAGGAAGAUGAUGACAGUACUGCAAGAAAAAGCACCGGCAAACUUCGUGCCAGCAGCCGCGGUAAUACGAAGGGUGCGAGCGUUGUUCGGAAUUACUGGGCGUAAAGGGUGUGUAGGCGGAUUGUUAAGAUAGCGGUGAAAUGCCCGGGCUUAACCUGGGAAUUGCCGUUAUGACUAAUGAUCUAGAGUGACAGAGAGGAUACUGGAAUACCCAGUGUAGAGGUGAAAUUCGUAGAUAUUGGGUAGAACACCGGUGGCGAAGGCGAGUAUCUGGCUGUAGACUGACGCUGAGGCACGAAAGCAUGGGGAUCAAACA